rnacentral:rRNA from 1 species
UACGUAGGGUGCGAGCGUUGUCCGGAAUUAUUGGGCGUAAAGGGCUCGUAGGCGGUCUGUCGCGUCGGGGAGUGAAAACACGGGGCUUAACCCCGUGCCUGCUUCCGAUACGGGCAGACUAGAGGUAUGCAGGGGGAGAACGGAAUUCCUGGUGUGCGGUGAAAUGCGCAGAUAUCAGGAGGAACACCGGUGGCGAAGGCGGUUCUCUGGGCAUUACCUGACGCUGAGGAGCGAAAGUGUGGGGGAGCGAACAGG